rnacentral:tRNA from 1 species
GUCUGGCUGGCCCAUGGGUAGAGUGUGUGACUCCUGAUCACAGGAUCAUGAGUUCAAGCCCCAUGUUGGGUG